UAGUUGCCAUCAUUCAGUUGGGCACUCUAGCGAGACUGCCGGUAAUAAACCGGAGGAAGGUGGGGAUGACGUCAAAUCAUCAUGCCCCUUAUGACCUGGGCUACACACGUGCUACAAUGGUUGGUACAACGAGUUGCGAGUCGGUGACAGCAAGCUAAUCUCUUAAAGCCAAUCUCAGUUCGGAUUGUAGGCUGCAACUCGCCUACAUGAAGUCGGAAUCGCUAGUAAUCGCGGAUCAGCACGCCGCGGUGAAUACGUUCCCGGGCUUUGUACACACCGCCCGUCACACCACGAGAGUUUGUAACACCCGAAGUCGGUGAGGUAACCUUUUGGAGCCAGCCGCCUAAGGUGGGAUAGAUGAUU
rnacentral:rRNA from 1 species